AUGGCCAGGCGCGGCUCCCCAGCCCCGCGGCGCGGAGCCCGGCCCCGCCCGGCCCGGGGCGGAGCUGAGGGACGGGCCGGGGGCGGCGGGCUCGGCCGCACGGUGCCCGCCCCGAGCGGGGGGUACGAGCUACGGGCGGGAGGCUCCCGCAGGCACCGGGGCCCCCUGUGCCCGAGCCCCGCCAACCGCGGCGGGAGCCCCGUCCCGGCGCUAAGGCCCCCCCCCCCCCGCCGCCUUCCCCGGUCGUUUCCGAGCUCGUUCCCCAGAACUCGCCCGUCCCCCCGCCGCGCGGCUCGGGCGAGGGCAGCGGCGGGCUCCGGCCGAGGGCUCCCCUGGCCCCGAGCGGGCGGUGGAGGAACCGGACGGCUCCUGCCCCACGGGAGAGUCCCGUUACGGCUCCCGGCACCGGGCAGCCCCGGGAGCCCUCCCUGCCGGGAAAUACCGGCUCCCUCCCCGCAAGCCCCACGGCUGAGCCCGGGAGGCCUUGCCCUCUGCCCGCACCGAGCACCGGGGCUGCGGCUCAGAGCCCGGCGCAGACGAGCCCCGCACGGGGCGAACGGGAGCCCGGCGCUCCCGGCGGCGGGACGGUUCCGCUCAAUCCCCCGGCGGGGCCGCGCCCUCCCGCCGGGGCCCGAGUCUCCCGAGCGGGUCCGGCCGCCGGGCAGCGCCGCGGGUCCCCCCCCGCCCCGAGGCCGGUCCCUCUUCCCGCUCGGGCCCCGCCGUCGCCAUAGAGACGGGGCUACCGACCGGCGGGCCUCGCGCGCGACCCUUGACCCCCGAGGCCCCGCCCCUUCCGCCACGUGCGCAGCGGCCCCUGCUGAGCCUCUCGCGGGGCGGCGGCGGCACCGGGACCGGGCCGGGCAGAGCGGGGACACCGCGGGGGGGGCACCGGGACCGGGCCGGGCAGAGCGGGGACACCGCGGGGGGGGCACCGGGACCGGGCCGGGCAGAGCGGGGACACCGCGGGGGGAGCACCGGGACCGGGCCGGGCAGAGCGGGGACACCGCGGGGGGGGCACCGGGACCGGGCCGGGCAGAGCGGGAGCGGCGCGGGGGGGGCACCGGGACCGGGCCGGGCAGAGCGGGGGCACCGCGGGGGGAGCACCGGGACCGGGCCGGGCAGAGGGGGAGCGGCGCGGGGGGUCACCGGGACCGGGCCGGGCAGAGCGGGGGCACCGCGGGGGGGGGCACCGGGACCGGGUGA
rnacentral:lncRNA from 1 species